rnacentral:rRNA from 1 species
UACGAAGGGGGCUAGCGUUGUUCGGAAUCACUGGGCGUAAAGCGCACGCAGGCGGAUUGAUAAGUCAGGGGUGAAAUCCCGGAGCUCAACUUCGGAAUUGCCUUUGAUACUGUCUGUCUUGAGUCCGGGAGAGGUGAGUGGAAUUCCUAGUGUAGAGGUGAAAUUCGUAGAUAUUAGGAAGAACACCAGUGGCGAAGGCGGCUCACUGGCCCGGUACUGACGCUCAUGUGCGAAAGCGUGGGGAGCAAACAGGG